rnacentral:rRNA from 1 species
UUUUGGCCCGUUUUUAGCCGUUUUGGCCAGUUUUUUGGGCAGUUCUUGCGUGCCAUGGGCGAGCGGCGUGAGCGAACAAAACGUCGAUCAUCUCAGCACCCUGGAACCCCGGGUGGCACAGGGCUGGAUGGGAGACGUUAAAUAUAGCAGGGGCGGUGCUGCCUCUCGCCAAGCUUGCUGUCCUCCGCUUCGCUGCUCACUUUCGCUCAGCCAAAAAUGGCUAGUUUUGGCCCGUUUCUGGGCUAUUUCGCCAGUUUUGAAAAGGACUUUGAAAAGGACUUUGAAAUAUGGGUGAGAGACCGAUAGCGAACAAAGUACCCUUGAGGAAAGAUGAAAAGGACUUUGAAAAAGAGAGUCAAAAGUGCUUGAAAUUGCGGGAGGGAAGCGGAUGGGGCGGCGAUACACCUCGGUCCGGAUCGCGGAGCGGCGGUUAGCGGUCCGCCCUUCGGCUUCGAAGUCGCGGAUCGAUCGGGCUGCAUCGGCGGCAAGAAACCGGACGGAUCGUUCGUUCGAGGAUCUGUCGAUGCGGUCGAGGACAUGACGCAGCGCCAUCGGCGUGCCGUGCUGGGUACGUGCAACCUAGGCAUCGCCAGUGGGCUCCCCCAUCGACCCGUCUUGAAACACGGGCCAAGGAGUCGACAUCGUGGUCGGCGGAGUGCGGAAACCCGGAAGGCACAAAGGAAGCUAACGGCGGGAACCCUCUCGAGGGGUUACUGCCGGCCGACCCGAUCUUCUGUGAAGGGUUCGAUUUGGAGCAUGCAUGUCGGGACACGAAAGAUGGUGAACUAUGCUGGCGAAAGCGAAGCCGAGCAAACUUCGGUGGAGGCCAGCGAUCUUGGCGUGCAAAUCGUUCGUCGACUUGGGUAUAGGGGCGAAAGACUAAUCGAACCAUCUAGUAGCUGGUUCCCUCGAAGUUUCCCUCGGGAUAGCUGGAGCCCCGUCGCGAAGUUCUAUCGGGUAAAACCAAUGAUUAGAGGCAUCGGGGUAUAGCGCCCUGACCUAUUCUCAAACUUUAAAUAGGUAGGACACACGGCUGCCGUUGAGCAGCGUCGUGAAUCGAAGAAACUCAAGUGGGCCAUUUUGGUAAAGUAGAACUGGCGUCUUGCGGGAUGAACCGGAAGCGGAUUCUGGUGCCCAACUAGCGCUAACCGGAGACACCACAAAGGGUGUUGGUUGAUUAAAACAACAGGGCGGUGGUCAUGGAAGUGAAAUCCGCUAAGAGUGUGUAACAACUCACUGCCGAAUCAACUAGCCCCGAAAAUGGAUGGCUGAAGCGCGACCCACACCCGCCAGGCGGCGCCAAACCCGAUGAUGAGUAGGAGCCUUGGCGGUCGCCCAUAAAACCCAGAAGCGAGCGCAGAGAAGCGCCGUCGGUGCAGAUCUUGGUGGUAGUAGCAAAUAUUCAAAUGAGAACUUUGAAGGCGAAGAGGGGAAAGGUUCCAUGUGAAUGGCACUUGCACAUGGGUUAGCCGAUCCUAAAGGGACGGGGAAGCCCGUCCAGAAGGUCAAUCCAGCCUUGAGCUCGAAAGGGAAUCGGGUUAAAAUUCCAGGCCGGGGACUUGGCGGGCGGACGACAACGUUAGGAAAUCUGGAGAGGUCGGCGGGGGCUCCGGAAGAGUUAUCUUUUCUGCUUUAGCCCACCCACCUAAAACAGCUCGGCGGUAGAGGUCCAGCGGUCGGAAGAAGCGCCGCCGCGUCAUGGCGUCGGUCGCCAAAAUGACCCUUGAAAAUCGGAGGACCCGAGUGCCGCCCAGCGGGUCGUACUCAUAACCGCAUUAGGUCUCAAGGUGAACAGCCUCUGGCCCAUGGAACAAUGUAGGCAAGGGAAGUCGGCAAAAGCGGAUCCGUAACUUGGAAAAGGAUUGGCUCGAGGGCUGGAUGCGGGGUCCCGGCCCCGAACCCGUCGUUUGUCGGCCGGACUGCUCGAGCUGCUCGGGCGGCGAGGCGAUCGCCGCGAUGCCGGGUGGGGACCGAGAAUAGCCCCCGGGGGCCUUCCCGGGCAUCGAACAACCCGACUCGAAAGCUGUUACGGACAAAGGGAAUCCGACUAUUUAAUUAAAACAAAGCAUUGCGAUGGUCCCCGGAUGCUCACAUAAUGUGAUUUCUGCUUGAGUGCUCUGAAUGUCAAAGUGAAGAAAUUCAACCAAGCGUGGGUAAGCGGCGGGAGUAACUAUGACUCUCUUAAGGUAGCCAAAUGCCUCGUCAUCUAAUUAGUGGCGCGCAUGAAUGGAUUAACGAGAUUCCCACUGUCCCCUGUCUACUAUCCAUCGAAACCACAACCAAAGGGCGGGCUUGGCAGAAUCAGCUGGGAAAAAGACCCUGUUGAGCUUGACUCUAGUCCGACUUUGUGAAAUGACUUGAGAGGUGUAGGAUAUGUGGGGGCGGUUAAGCGGCGGAAGUGAAAAUACCACUACUUUUAACGUUAUUUUACUUAUUCCGUGAGUCGGGCCGGGGCCCGGCCCCUCCUUUGGACCCAAAGGCCCGCCCUAAGCGGGCCGAUCCCGGCGGAAGACAUUGUCGGGUGGGGAGUUUGGCUGGGCGGCACAUCUGUUAAAAGAUAACGUGGGUGUCCUAAGAUGAGCUCAGCGAGAACAGAAAUCUCGUGUGGAACAAAAGUGUAAAAGCUCGUUUGAUUCUGAUUUCCGAUGCGAAUACAAACCGUGAAAGCGUGGCCUAUCGAUCCUUUAGACCUUGAAUUUGAAGCUAGAGGUGUCAGAAAAAGUUACCACAGGGAUAACUGGCUUGUGGCAGCCAAGCGUUCAUAGCGGCGUUGCUUUUUUUGAUCCUUGAUGUCGGUUAUUCCUAUCAUUAUGAAGUAGAAUUCACCAAGUGUUGGAUUGUUCACCCACCAAUAGGGAGCGUGAGCUGGGUUUGACCAUCGUGAGAAAGGUUAGUUUUACCCUACUGAUGAUCGUGUGGCGAUAGUAAUUCAACCUAGUACGAGAGGAACCGUUGAUUCACAAUUGGUCAUCGGCUUGGUUGAAAAGCCAGUGGAUGGCUUACCGUGUCGGAUUAUGACUGAACGCCUCUAAGUCAGAAUCCUAGCUAGCAACCGGCGCUCUCGCCCGUCGUUAGCCUCCCGACCCAGUAGGGGCCUUUGGCCCCAUGGGCUCAUGUCGCCGGUGUGUAGCCCUCGUGGUGGUAUAGCGGGCGACCAUCGGAAGUGAAAUUCCGCCGGAC